GCAAGUCGAACGGAGUAUUGGAGCUUGCUUUGAAUAACUUAGUGGCGGACGGGUAGAGUAACACGUGAGCAAUCUGCCCUUAAGAGGGGGAUAGCAGUUGGAAACGACUGAUAAUACCGCAUAAGAUAGUAGUACCGCAUGGUACAGCUAUAAAAGAUUUAUCGCUUAAGGAUGAGCUCGCGUCUGAUUAGCUAGUUGGUGAGGUAACGGCUCACCAAGGCAACGAUCAGUAGCCGGACUGAGAGGUUGGACGGCCACAUUGGGACUGAGACACGGCCCAGACUCCUACGGGAGGCAGCAGUGGGGAAUAUUGCACAAUGGAGGGAACUCUGAUGCAGCGAUGCCGCGUGAGGGAAGAAGGUUUUAGGAUUGUAAACCUCUGUUGACAGGGACGAUAAUGACGGUACCUGUUGAGGAAGCUCCGGCUAACUACGUGCCAGCCGCAGC
rnacentral:rRNA from 1 species